GAUUACUUCCGAGAUAGGAUCCAAAAUGUCCUAUCACUUAUGCAACCGAUCAAAUAGGAAUUUGUAUUCAUCGUUGUUACUCAAACAAUGAUUGUAAUUACGGAAGAAUAUGUUGUUCGACCGGAUGUGGAAGUCAAUGUGCAAGAGCACCACUUGAUGAACGAUGUCCACCAAUAGAUCCAAGGAUGUUGGAACUCCGUCAAAGAAUAUUGUGUCUUCCUCCAUCAUGCUACAGCAAUGAUCAAUGCAAGAAUGGAGAUAUAUGUUGCUAUGAUGGUUGUCGUCAACGAUGCAUCUCACCACCAUUUACAGACCCACGAUGUCCUCCAGUUGAAGAGAGAGUUGGAAUCUGCUCAAAUGAAUGUAAAUCAAACAUAGACUGCACAGAAGGAUUAAUUUGUUGUUCAAAUGGAUGCGGUACUCAGUGUCAAUAUCCUCCGUUUAUACCAUUUUGAUAGAUUUGUGUGAAAAAUUAUAAAAUAUUAUACGCAAAAUGCAUUGUUAAACUUUCUCUAGUACGAAUAUCAUUUUCCACAAAUAGUUCUAAGAUAUCAGUGAAUUUGCUGACUUAUAACGUCUGGGAUACCAAAACAUCACUAUGUGGUCCCAUAGCGUCAUCUCGCAGUUGAAACGAUGCAAUCAAUGAUUUGUAAAAAUUAUGGUGAUCAACUAACUCAAAAAUGCUUUAUCAUCUGACAUGAAAGAUUAUAAAGAAGCAAUU